rnacentral:lncRNA from 1 species
GGGCAGCGGCUGCCACCAGCGACAAGUCCGCAUGCAAAUCGCCUGCUGCCUCCGGGGCACGGGGCGCUGAGGCGGGAGGCUUCAAUUGUCCCGGCGCUGCCAGGGCUCCCGGUGGUGGGGAGAGCUGCAACUUUCCUCAAAGAGGCACGGAGCGGAACGGGCGAAGAAACUCCCGUCAGUCAGAUGACACAAAGGAAAAGUGCUGCAAGGCAGAUUCCUCACAUGCACAGGAACCUACAGAAGAUCUGAGGAUAUCCAAAGAGAAUGGGAGUGAUCACAACCCUACAGUGAAGUUCCUGGCUGCAGGAUUUCAAUGGAUGCAGCAAUGCAGGAAGCCAGACACACAAGAGUGCUGGAAUCAGUGCUGAGUCAGACUUCAUGUUGAUAGUCCAGACCUUUGCAUCCAUUCUGGGAGAUCUGCCAGUGUUUAGAAGCCAAAACCCGUGUCCACUCCAUAUGGAGAAGGAAGAAUGGCAUAGAAAUAAAUGGUGACCUCAGAAACUUUCUGGAUUCCUAAGCAGACUUUUCCUAAAAAGGGUAGUCUCUGGAUUUGAGUUAAUUUUUGGUUGGUUCAAAGCAUAGUAUAUUCUUGGUGUCAGUUUCCUGUCUCUUUCCACGUAUUUAUUUAGAGCAAAAAAUCACUGCUCUCAUUCAAUAGUUCAGUUAUGCAAGAUACUUUUCAUCUCACAUUAAAAUUUAUAUCUCAUUUGUUAUCCAGAAA